CUGCGAGGACGGCGCGAGGGCGUCACAAGGAGACUAUGGGCACCGAGAGGAGUCGGGGAGGAAAACGAGGCCCCCAGCCUGGCGCUGAGCGGCCGGAGGAGCCCGGUGCGACAUUUUCCAAGAAGCCGCCAGAGGGCGCGCGCGCGCCUCGCUGCCUCUCCCGUCCCACUGCCCCGAAGUCGGGGGCCUGCCUAGCACGCCGGAGACCGCCUGGCUCCCCCUGCUCGAUCCGGGACGCCCCAUUCCAUAC
rnacentral:lncRNA from 1 species